GACGAACGCUGGCGGCAGGCCUAACACAUGCAAGUCGAGCGGACCUUUCGGGGUCAGCGGCGGACGGGUGAGUAACGCGUGGGAAUAUGCCCUUCUCUACGGAAUAGUCCUGGGAAACUGGGGGUAAUACCGUAUACGCCCUUUGGGGGAAAGAUUUAUCGGGGAAGGAUUAGCCCGCGUUGGAUUAGGUAGUUGGUGGGGUAAUGGCCUACCAAGCCGACGAUCCAUAGCUGGUUUGAGAGGAUGAUCAGCCACACUGGGACUGAGAUACGGCCCAGACUCCUACGGGAGGCAGCAGUGGGGAAUCUUAGACAAUGGGGGCAACCCUGAUCUAGCCAUGCCGCGUGAGUGAUGAAGGCCUUAGGGUUGUAAAGCUCUUUCAGCUGGGAAGAUAAUGACGGUACCAGCAGAAGAAGCCCCGGCUAACUCCGUG
rnacentral:rRNA from 1 species